rnacentral:lncRNA from 1 species
GUGCGGGUGAGUGCGGGGUCGGGAGGGAAACAGCCUCUGCGGGGAGGGGCGGGGCCAACACCGGGGUAGCCUCGUCCCUGUGUGGCUUAUCUGAUCUUUCACCCGAUCUCCACCAGCGUCUCCAGCCCCGCGUCCUGCUCCCCUCCCAGCCCGCGCACCCGCCCGUGGUCCUGGGAGGAAGUCGGGGUCUCACCGCUUUCCGCCCCCAGGCUCACACUCGCUGCGGUAUUUCCACACCGCCAUGUCCCGGCCCGGCCUCGGGGAGCCCCGGUUCAUCGCUGUCGGCUACGUGGACGACACGCAGUUCGUGCGCUUCGACAGCGACGCGGAGAAUCCGAGGAUGGAACCGCGCGCGCCAUGGAUGGAGCAGGAGGGGCCGGAGUAUUGGGAGCGGGAGACACAGGUCGCCAAGAACACGGAGCAGAUUUCUCGAGUGAACCUGAGGACCCUGCGCGGCUAUUACAACCAGAGCGAGGGCGGUGGGUGACCCAGGGUCGGAUGUCACAACCCCUCCAUGUCCGGACAAGGAGACCUGAGAUGGAAAGUUCCCGGGCCCCAAGUCCGAGGUUCGGGAGCAGAACCACAACCCAGCACUGGUCCCUUUCAGUUUGUAGGUGUCCGCUAGUGGUCGGGUCCGGCAGAACACGGGAGGGGGGUCAGGGGGUGCUGACCGCGGGGUCCCGCAGGCUCUCACACUUACCAGCGGAUGUCUGGCUGUGAGGUGGGGUCCGACGGGCGCCUCCUCCGUGGGUACUGGCAGUAUGCCUACGAUGGCCAGGAUUACAUCGCCCUGAACGAAGACCUGAAAACGUGGACGACAGCAGACAUAGCAGCUCAGAUUACUGGACAAAAACUGGAACAGAUCCCCAAAGGCACAUGUGACCCAUCACCCGGGAUCUGAAGAUGAUGUCACCCUGAGGUGUUGGGCCCUGGGCUUCUACCCUGCUGACAUCACCCUGACCUGGCAGUUGAAUGGGGAGGAGCUGACCCAGGACAUGGAGCUUGUGGAGACCAGGCCUGCAGGGGAUGGAAUCUUCCAGAAGUGGGCAGCUGUGGUGGUGCCUCUUGGGAAGGAGCAGAAUUACACAUGCCAUGUGCACCAUGAGGGGCUGCCUGAGCCCCUCACCCUGAGAUGGGAGCCUCCUCUAUCCACCGACUCCAACAUGGUGACCAUUGCUGUUCUGGUUGUCCUUGGAACUGUGAUAGUCAUUGUUGCUGUGGUGGCUUUUGUGAUGAAGAGGAGGAGAAACACAGCGUGAAGCCAGCUGCCUGGAGUGGACUAAGUGACAGACAAUGUCUUCACACAUCUCCUGUGACAUCCAGAGCCCUCAGUUUUCUUUAGUCAAGUAUCUGAUGUUCCCUGUGAGCCUAUGGGCUCAAAGUGAAGAACUGUGCAGCCCAGCCUGCCCUGCACACAGAACCCUGUCCCUGCACUGCCCUGGGUUCCCUUCCACAGCCAACCUUGCUGCUCCAGCCAAACACUGGGCGACAUCUGCAUCCUGCCAGCUCCAUGCUGCCCUGAGCUGCAGCUCCUCACUUCCACACUGAGAGUAAGAAUCUGAAUGGGACCUUGAUUCUUAACAUCCUGACCGAGGGUUGAUUUCUUGUUAAUUUCAUGGAUUGAGAAUACUUAGAGUUUUGGUUUGUUUUGAUUUUUUUUCAAGAAAUAAAUGGCAGAUGGAGAACCUUCCAGAAUCUGA